GUAGUUAGCCGGGGCUUCCUCACAGGGUACCGUCACUUCUUCGUCCCCUGCGACAGAGGUUUACAACCCGAAAGCCUUCUUCCCUCACGCGGCGUUGCUGGGUCAGGGUUUCCCCCAUUGCCCAAUAUUCCCCACUGCUGCCUCCCGUAGGAGUCUGGACCGUGUCUCAGUUCCAGUGUGGCCGAUCAGCCUCUCAGCUCGGCUACCCAUCGCUGACUAGGUGGGCCGUUACCCCGCCUACUAUCUAAUGGGACGCGAGCCCCUCUCUCUGCGGAUUGCUCCUUUGACCUCUCUACCAUGCGGUAAUGUGGUCUUAUGCGGUAUUAGCACUUGUUUCCAGGUGUUAUCCCCCUCAAAGAGUCAGGUUGCUCACGCGUUACUCACCCGUUCGCCACUAAGAAUGCGUGCUCAUUGCUGAUCACACAUCUCCGUUCGACUUGCAUGUGUUAGGCACGCCGCCAGCGUGUCCUCGAGCCGACUGAUCAAACUACUGA
rnacentral:rRNA from 1 species